AUAAUACUCCAUAGAUUAGAGAUACUGGGAAUGUUCUUUAGUCAAAAGUUCUGGCGCCUUAGGAUGGAUCUGCGGUCGAUUAGGUUGUUGUUGGGGUAACGGCCCAACAAGCCUGUAAUCGAUACGGGUUGUGGGAGCAAUAGCCCGGAGAUGGAAUCUGAGACAAGAUUCCAGGCCCUACGGGGCGCAGCAGGCGCGAAAACUUUACAAUGCAGGAAACUGUGAUAAGGGAACUCCGAGUGCCCGUAUACGCGGGCUGUCCAGGUGUUUAAAAAUCAUCUGAAGAAAGGGCCGGGCAAGACCGGUGCCAGCCGCCGCGGUAAUACCGGCGGCUCGAGUGGUGGCCACUAUUAUUGGGCUUAAAGCGUCCGUAGCUGGACCGAUAAGUCUCUUGGGAAAUCCGCCGGCUCAACCGGCGGGCGUCUAAGGGAUACUGUUAGUCUAGGGACCGGGAGAGGUGAGAGGUACUCCGGGGGUAGGAGUGAAAUCCUGUAAUCCCCGGGGGACCACCGAUGGCGAAGGCAUCUCACCAGAACGGCUCCGACAGUGAGGGACGAAAGCUGGGGGAGCGAACCGGAUUAGAUACCCGGGUAGUCCCAGCCGUAAACUAUGCGCGUUAGGUGU
rnacentral:rRNA from 1 species